rnacentral:rRNA from 1 species
CUACGGGGGGCAGCAGUGGGGAAUUUUGCGCAAUGGGGGAAACCCUGACGCAGCGAUACCGCGUGAGUGAAGAAGGCCUUUGGGUCGUAAAGCUCUUUUCUAAGGGAAGAUAGUGACGGUACCUUAGGAAUAAGCGCCGGCUAACUCCGUGCCAGCAGCCGCGGUAAUACGGAGGGCGCGAGCGUUGUUCGGAUUUACUGGGCGUAAAGGGCGCGUAGGCGGCCUGGCAAGUUAAGGGUGAAAUCCCGGGGCUUAACCCCGGAACUGCUCUUAAAACUGCCAAGCUAGAGAUGGUCAGAGGCGGGUGGAAUUCCAGGUGUAGAGGUGAAAUUCGUAGAUAUCUGGAGGAACACCGGUGGCGAAGGCGGCCCGCUGGGGCCAUUCUGACGCUGAGGCGCGAAAGCGUGGGGAGCGAACGGGAUUAGAUACCCCAGUAGUC